rnacentral:rRNA from 1 species
GUCUACGGCCAUGCCACCCUGAACAAGCCCGAUUCCAUCUGAUCUUGGAAGUUAAGCAGUGUCGGGCCUGGUUAGUACUUGAAUGGGAGACUACCUAGGGGGACCAGGUGCUGUAGGUA